rnacentral:rRNA from 1 species
AUACGUAGGUGGCAAGCGUUGUCCGGAUUUACUGGGUGUAAAGGGCGCGUAGGCGGGCAGGCAAGUCAGAUGUGAAAUCUCCGGGCUCAACCCGGAAAUUGCAUUUGAAACUGCAGGUCUUGAGUAUCGGAGAGGCAAGCGGAAUUCCUAGUGUAGCGGUGAAAUGCGUAGAUAUUGGGAAGAACACCGGUGGCGAAGGCGGCUUCCUGGACUGAGACGGACGCUCAGGUGCGAAAGCCUGGGGAGCAAACAGGAUUAGAUACCCCGGUAGUCCGGGCCGUAAACGAUGGGUACUAGGUGUGGGAGGUAUCGACUCCUUCCGUGCCGAAGCUAACGCAAUAAGUACCCCGCCUGGGGAGUACGGCCGCAAGGCUUAAACUCAAAUGAAUUGACGGGG